GACGUAGGUGGCUAACGUUAUCCGGAAUUAUUGGGCGUAAAGGGUGCGUAGGUCGUCAAAUAAGUUAGCGGUGGCAAAAUUAGAGCUUAACUCUACGGAAGCCGUUAAUACUGUUUGACUUGAGGGCAGAAGAGGUUAACGGAACUCUUUGUAGAGCGGUGAAAUGCAUAGACAUAAAGAUGAACACCAAAAGGCGAAGGCAGUUAACUAUUCUGUUCCUGACGCUGAGGCACGAAAGCAUGGGGAGCAAAAAGG
rnacentral:rRNA from 1 species